AAGUGGCGAAAGGGGCAGUAAUGCAUGGGUAAUCUACCCCGGGGACGUGGAUAGCUAUCCUAACGGGUAGGUAAUACACGGCGAUUCGGCGAGGGGGCAUCCUCUUGCCGGGAAAUGAAUUUCGCCUCGGGAGGAACUCAUGUCGUAUUAGCUUGUUGGCGGGGUAACGGCCCACCAAGGCACAGAUGCGUAGCGGGUGUGAGAGCACGACCCGCGCCACUGGCACUGAGACACUGGCCAGACACCUACGGGUGGCUGCAGUCGAGGAUCUUCGGCAAUGGGCGCAAGCCUGACCGAGCGACGCCGCGUGUGCGACGAAGGCCUUCGGGUUGUAAAGCACUGUCGAGGGGGAGGAAAGCCGAAAGGUCUGACCUAUCCCUGGAGGAAGCACGGGCUAAGUUCGUGCCAGCAGCCGCGGUAAGACGAACCGUGCGAACGUUGUUCGGAAUCACUGGGCUUAAAGGGCGCGUAGGCGGGCGAUCAAGUCAGGGGUGAAAUCCUCCAGCUUAACUGGAGAACUGCCUCUGAUACUGGUCAUCUUGAGUGAGGUAGGGGCGUGCGGAACUGAUGGUGGAGCGGUGAAAUGUGUUGAUAUCAUCAGGAACUCCGGUGGCGAAAGCGGCGCGCUGGACCUUAAC
rnacentral:rRNA from 1 species